rnacentral:rRNA from 1 species
CGCAUCUGUGCAUGCAGCAUAUCAAUAGCGGAGGAAAAGAAACUAAUAAGGAUUCCCUUAGUAAGCGGCGAGUGAAGCGGGAAGAGCUCAAAUUUGAAAUCUUCAAGGUUUUACCUUGACGAAUUGUAGUUUAAAGAAGUGUUUUCUGUUGAAGUUUUGGUAAAAGUUCUUUGGAAUAGGACAUCAUAGAGGGUGAGAAUCCCGUAUUUGACCAUUAUUUUCAGCUGUGUGAUACACUUUCAAAGAGUCGGAUUGUUUGGGAAUGCAGUCCAAAAUGGGUGGUAAAUUUCAUCUAAAGCUAAAUAUUGGCGAGAGACCGAUAGCGAACAAGUACCGUGAGGGAAAGAUGAAAAGAACUUUGAAAAGAGAGUUAAACAGUACGUGAAAUUGUCAAAAGGGAAGCGUUUGACACCAGUGUUGUUUUCUCGAAAAUCAAUUAAAAAGAGUUUGAUUUCUGUUGUGUAUUGACCUUAACAGCUUGCAUUUCAAUUUUCUUGCUUUUUUUAAUGCACUUUUCGUUUAACAAGUCAACAUCAGUUUCUUUUGUUGUAAAAAGGUCAUUGGAAGGUGGCUUUCUUUUCGGAGAAAGUGUUUAUAGCCUUUGACUCCUGCAAUCGGAGAGACUGAGGUCUGCAGCGUAGAUCCUUCGGGGUUAGAUACAUUUGUGCUAAGUUAUAGCUUUUUAUAGACAGCUUGUUGACUAUGAUUAGUCUUGUAGCUUACUCGCUUAUGCUAUUUUACCUACGCUUAGGAUGUUGACACACGCGCGUGCUCG